rnacentral:lncRNA from 1 species
UGUGGCAGGCAUCCCAGCUUGCUUAGAGAAGGAGAAGUUGAAGUCGGCCUCACAGAGGAUUGUUUGGUCCCAGCUGAAUAACCUGCUGGCAUCCACUGUGAGCAGAGUGGUAAGCAGAUUAUGGAUCUCUUCUUGAAAAAGACAGAGCUGCAGUCAUCUUCGGUCUCAGGUUCUAUAAAAACCCAGCACAGCCUUGGCAGGCCUCCUGGAAUGACUUCUUGUUUCCUGAGGACCCAUUGAUUUAACAAACUAACAAACGUAAAUAACAGAAGCUAUGAAAGAAACAUUUGCAGCAUCAGACCUUCUUCUCUAGAACUUUCUUCUGCCCCAUGUGGUGGUCACUGCCCAGCUCAAGAGAUAGUCCUGGAGAGGACACAGAGGCAACAAGGUCCAGAGACUUGCCUCAGGGUCACCUCAGGGGCCCUUCCAAUCAUGCUUCCCCCAGUCCCCGAAGCAUCUUCCAGCAGCCAACAUGUUGGUGAAUGGGGUCCUAAACCCUGCACUGCCCAGGAACUGUGCUGUGGAGUCUGGCCACGUUCCCUUAUUGGGGCAGGCAUGAGGCAGUGACUAAAGUGUCCUAAAGCUCCCAGUGAAGGCUCUGAGAUGGCUGGACCGCCCACUGCAUCCUUGGCCCUACAGAAAGAGGGCUCCAUGGAGCAUGCACAGAAGCAGCAAGGGGCAGUGUGACACUGGGAGAGGUACUAAGGAGGGGGCGGCCUUCUGAUCCACGCAAGGAUUCUUAAGGACCUCCUGGCUCAAAACAAUCACUUCCUCUCUUGCUGUGGUUCGUGGACAAUGGAGUCCCAAAGGGAGGCCUUUCCUUGCAACCUCAAAGGGAGGAAAGCCUGCUUUCACAGCUGGCAGGGCCUGCGGACAGCCAGCCAGCUACCUGCACCAACUACCGUCCACCUGUCUCCCGUCACAUCCCCCCCUCUACCCCCGAGUGGCUGGUCUGCGGCGCUUCGGACGUGCUCCUUGCCUUGCAUUCACUCUCCCUCCCGCGCAUUCAGUGGAUGUGUCCCACGUGGAGAAGGCGAAGUUGGGAAGGGGCAGCCCUCGCGAAGGGCCACUUGGUCUGGGCACUUAUUCACUGGGGUGGAAUGGGAUGGCAGCGGAGCAGGGGACAGCCUAGGCUAAAAGGCCGCCCGGGGGCAGCCCCUCCAGGUAACCCGUCCCGCGGCCCGCCAGCAUGGAGCACCAG